UAGUAACUGCGAGUGAAGCGGGAAAAGCUCAAAUUUAAAAUCUGGCGGUCUCUGGCCGUCCGAGUUGUAAUCUAGAGAAGUAAUGCCCGUGCUGGACCGUGUAUAAGUCUCCUGGGAUGGGGCGUCAUAGAGGGUGAGAAUCCCGUCUUUGACACGGACUACCAGUGCAUUGUGGUAUGCUCUCAAAGAGUCGAGUUGUUUGGGAAUGCAGCUCAAAAUGGGUGGUAAAUUCCAUCUAAAGCUAAAUAUUGGCGAGAGACCGAUAGCGAACAAGUACCGUGAGGGAAAGAUGAAAAGAACUUUGGAAAGAGAGUUAAACAGUACGUGAAAUUGCUGAAAGGGAAACGCUUGAAGUCAGUCGCGUUGGCCGGGGAUCAGCCUUGCUUUUGCAUGGUGUACUUUCUGGUUGACGGGUCAGCAUCAAUUUUGACCGCUGGAAAAAGACCUGGGGAAUGUGGCAGCUUCGGCUGUGUUAUAGCCCCUAGUCGCAUACAGUGGUUGGGAUUGAGGAACUCAGCACGCCGCAAGGCCGGGUUUCGACCACGUUCGUGCUUAGGAUGCUGGCAUAAUGGCUUUAAGCGACCCGUCUUGAAACACGGACCAAGGAGUCUAACAUGCCUGCGAGUAUUUGGGUGGAAAACCCAAGUGCGCAAUGAAAGUGAAAGUUGAGAUCCCUGUCGUGGGGAGCAUCGACGCCCGGACCAGAACUUUUGGGACGGAUCCGCGGUGGAGCAUGUAUGUUGGGACCCGAAAGAUGGUGAACUAUGCCUGAAUAGGGUGAAGCCAGAGGAAACUCUGGUGGAGGCUCGUAGCGAUUCUGACGUGCAAAUCGAUCGU
rnacentral:rRNA from 1 species